rnacentral:rRNA from 1 species
UACGAAGGGGGCUAGCGUUGCUCGGAAUCACUGGGCGUAAAGGGUGCGUAGGCGGGUCUUUAAGUCAGGGGUGAAAUCCUGGAGCUCAACUCCAGAACUGCCUUUGAUACUGAGGAUCUUGAAUUCGGGAGAGGUGAGUGGAACUGCGAGUGUAGAGGUGAAAUUCGUAGAUAUUCGCAAGAACACCAGUGGCGAAGGCGACUACCUGGCCCAUUCUUGACGCUGAGGCGCGAAAGCUAGGGGAGCGAACGGG